GGCCGAGGGGCUCGAUGGGCGCUGCGGAGGGUUCAGCGGGGCGGACCGGACCUUUUGUGAGGCUUUCCGCCUCCACCUCGGCACGGCGGUGUAGGGUAUCUUACAACUACUAAAUCUUUUAUAUGGGCAUUUAGUGAGGCUUUAAGGGAUUGAGAGUCUCUCACUGCCUGACCUCUUCCCCUGGAGCUGCUUUGACCUCAUUGCAGGCUAUCAUAUUCAUCCAGGCUGCAGCUGAAGAGUUUUCUAAACUCAAUUAGUGCAAGAAUGCUAUGACCAAUGGAAAAAUGUUUGAUGCGUGCCAGAAAACAAAUCUUCCCAGCUCUUGGAAAUAUGUUCUGAAAACAAAUAAGGAUCACACAAGAUUUUCAUACUAAGAAAUAUUUUUUUCCUAGGAAAAUGUUUAAAAUCUAAAGCAAAAUUUUCAGUUUAAUUAUCCUUCUCUAAGGAAGGUCUAUAGCAUAAGCUCGGGAAGACAAGGAUAUGGAUUUAUCCUGAUUGGUGUGAACACUGACUCCCACUUGCAGAUUGUAAAUGUUAAUAUCACAUUGAGAUUGAAAACACAAGUAAUGUAGAAAUUAACACAGUGACAGGCAUAUUCACACUGAAAUUCUUUGAAUAUAAAUAAUUAGCAAUACAACGGGUUACUCAGGAUGCCACACUGAGCAUUGCUACUUGGGAAAAAUCACAGUUAAUGAUUGUCUUGACUUUAGUUUUGCAUGAAUAGUAUAGCUCUUUCAGUACAAUAAAUAAAAGAAAUACAAAGCCCAUCUUGGAU